GAGAUCCGAAUCCCACAGCCACGGUGAAGGCUAGAAUUUUCACUUAGUAAACAACUUGGCCCAUAAUUUUGGUAGUUUUGUUACUUGAUUGAGCUGUUGCCUAAAACAAGGAAACCUUCAAAAUGACCUGAUCUGGACCUUCUCUCUUGUCCCUGAGUCAGACUUUUCAUUCCUCCUCCCUGUGGACACCCGGUUGCCCAGGGACUCAGCAGAAGACCAUCUCUCCUUAGACUGAGAGCUCCCUCCGAGAGAACAGAAAUUCUACUGAUCACCACCGUAAUGCUGAAUAUGAAAUGCCCCAUGUGGACAAGAAUCCCUGACUCAUGGCCCAAGCCCAAUAAAUACUGGGUUUACGUGACACCCAACACGGCUGACACGAAUGAGGUGCUUAGUGAGAUUUUGCUCCAGUGAAUGGCAUUAACAUAUUUUAUAGCUGGCUUACCAACCUGCAGAAGAAGCUUAUGCCUUGAGAACUUUAGAACAGCCUGUACUUGAUCUCCGGAGACAGCACAAUGGUUCCAAAUAAUUUUAUCCUUCUUUAUACAGUCUAGUUCA